rnacentral:rRNA from 1 species
UAAGGAAUAUUGGUCAAUGGACGCAAGUCUGAACCAGCCAUGCCGCGUGAAGGAUGAAGGUCCUCUGGAUUGUAAACUUCUUUUAUCUGGGACGAAAACGGGAUUUUUAUCUCAAUUGACGGUACCAGAGGAAUAAGCACCGGCUAACUCCGUGCCAGCAGCCGCGGUAAUACGGAGGGUGCGAGCGUUAUCCGGAUUUACUGGGUUUAAAGGGUGCGUAGGUGGGCUUAUAAGUCAGUGGUGAAAUCUUCCGGCUUAACCGGGAAACUGCCGUUGAUACUAUUUGUCGUGAAUAUUGCGGAGGUAAGCGGAAUAUGUCAUGUAGCGGUGAAAUGCUUAGAUAUGACAUAGAACACCAAUUGCGAAGGCAGCUUACUACACAAUCAUUGACACUGAGGCAUGAAAGCGUGGGUAGCGAACA